rnacentral:rRNA from 1 species
GCAAGUCGAGCGCAGGCAAACUGACGGAACUCUUCGGAGGGAAGGCAGUGGAAUGAGCGGCUGACGGGUGAGUAACACGUAAGGAACCUGCCUCAAGGAUUGGGAUAACUCCGAGAAAUCGGAGCUAAUACCGGAUAGUUCAUCGGACCGCAUGGUCCGUUGAUGAAAGGCGCUCCGGCGUCACCUUGAGAUGGCCUUGCGGUGCAUUAGCUAGUUGGUGGGGUAACGGCCCACCAAGGCGACGAUGCAUAGCCGACCUGAGAGGGUGAUCGGCCACACUGGGACUGAGACACGGCCCAGACUCCUACGGGAGGCAGCAGUAGGGAAUCUUCCACAAUGGACGAAAGUCUGAUGGAGCAACGCCGCGUGAGUGAUGAAGGUUUUCGGAUCGUAAAACUCUGUUGUAAGGGAAGAACACGUACGAGAGGGAAUGCUCGUACCUUGACGGUACCUUACGAGAAAGCCACGGCUAACUACGUGCCAGCAGCCGCGGUAAUACGUAGGUGGCAAGCGUUGUCCGGAAUUAUUGGGCGUAAAGCGCGCGCAGGCGGCCUUUUAAGUCUGAUGUGAAAGCCCCCGGCUCAACCGGGGAGGGCCAUUGGAAACUGGAAGGCUUGAGUACAGAAGAGAAGAGUGGAAUUCCACGUGUAGCGGUGAAAUGCGUAGAGAUGUGGAGGAACACCAGUGGCGAAGGCGACUCUUUGGUCUGUAACUGACGCUGAGGCGCGAAAGCGUGGGGAGCAAACAGGAUUGAUACCCUGGUAGUCCACGCCGUAAACGAUGAGUGCUAGGUGUUGGGGGGGUUUCCGCCCCUCAGUGCUGAAGCUAACGCAUUAAAGCACUCCGGCCUGGGGGAGUACGGCCGCAAGGCUGAAACUCAAAGGGAAUUGACGGGGACCCGCACA